rfam:Glycine max cultivar Williams 82 chromosome 11, whole genome shotgun sequence.
CUUUUAUUGAACGUUGACCGCCAUGUAUCAUGUUUUUAUUGGAGGUUGACGUUAAUUAGGUGCACAAAAUUAACGUCCAAUAAAAGCACAACACGUGACAGUCAACGUCCAAUAAAAGCGUGACACAUGUCAGUCAACAUCC